rnacentral:rRNA from 1 species
GGGCUCACCUCUUCCCAUUCCGAACAGAGAAGUUAAGCCCGAUUGCGCAGAUGGUACUGCAGUUAUGUGGGAGAGUAUGUCGCCGCCUUUC